CCUACGGGUGGCUGCAGUGGGGAAUAUUGGACAAUGGGCGAAAGCCUGAUCCAGCCAUGCCGCGUGUGUGAAGAAGGCCUUCGGGUUGUAAAGCACUUUCAGUGGGGAAGAAAGCCUUGGGGCUAAUACCCUCGAGGAAGGACAUCACCCACAGAAGAAGCACCGGCUAACUCCGUGCCAGCAGCCGCGGUAAUACGGAGGGUGCGAGCGUUAAUCGGAAUUACUGGGCGUAAAGCGCGCGUAGGCGGUCUGAUAAGCCGGUUGUGAAAGCCCCGGGCUCAACCUGGGAACGGCAUCCGGAACUGUCAGGCUAGAGUGCAGGAGAGGAAGGUAGAAUUCCCGGUGUAGCGGUGAAAUGCGUAGAGAUCGGGAGGAAUACCAGUGGCGAAGGCGGCCUUCUGGACUGACACUGACGCUGAGGUGCGAAAGCGUGGGUAGCAAACAGGAUUAGAUACCCUGUAGUC
rnacentral:rRNA from 1 species